rnacentral:rRNA from 2 species
UUAAGCGACUAAGCGUACACGGUGGAUGCCCUGGCAGUCAGAGGCGAUGAAGGACGUGCUAAUCUGCGAUAAGCGUCGGUAAGGUGAUAUGAACCGUUAUAACCGGCGAUUUCCGAAUGGGGAAACCCAGUGUGUUUCGACACACUAUCAUUAACUGAAUCCAUAGGUUAAUGAGGCGAACCGGGGGAACUGAAACAUCUAAGUACCCCGAGGAAAAGAAAUCAACCGAGAUUCCCCCAGUAGCGGCGAGCGAACGGGGAGGAGCCCAGAGCCUGAAUCAGUGUGUGUGUUAGUGGAAGCGUCUGGAAAGGCGCGCGAUACAGGGUGACAGCCCCGUACACAAAAAUGCACAUAUUGUGAGCUCGAUGAGUAGGGCGGGACACGUGGUAUCCUGUCUGAAUAUGGGGGGACCAUCCUCCAAGGCUAAAUACUCCUGACUGACCGAUAGUGAACCAGUACCGUGAGGGAAAGGCGAAAAGAACCCCGGCGAGGGGAGUGAAAAAGAACCUGAAACCGUGUACGUACAAGCAGUGGGAGCCUCUUAAUGGGGUGACUGCGUACCUUUUGUAUAAUGGGUCAGCGACUUAUAUUCUGUAGCAAGGUUAACCGAAUAGGGGAGCCGAAGGGAAACCGAGUCUUAACUGGGCGUUAAGUUGCAGGGUAUAGACCCGAAACCCGGUGAUCUAGCCAUGGGCAGGUUGAAGGUUGGGUAACACUAACUGGAGGACCGAACCGACUAAUGUUGAAAAAUUAGCGGAUGACUUGUGGCUGGGGGUGAAAGGCCAAUCAAACCGGGAGAUAGCUGGUUCUCCCCGAAAGCUAUUUAGGUAGCGCCUCGUGAAUUCAUCUCCGGGGGUAGAGCACUGUUUCGGCAAGGGGGUCAUCCCGACUUACCAACCCGAUGCAAACUGCGAAUACCGGAGAAUGUUAUCACGGGAGACACACGGCGGGUGCUAACGUCCGUCGUGAAGAGGGAAACAACCCAGACCGCCAGCUAAGGUCCCAAAGUCAUGGUUAAGUGGGAAACGAUGUGGGAAGGCCCAGACAGCCAGGAUGUUGGCUUAGAAGCAGCCAUCAUUUAAAGAAAGCGUAAUAGCUCACUGGUCGAGUCGGCCUGCGCGGAAGAUGUAACGGGGCUAAACCAUGCACCGAAGCUGCGGCAGCGACACUAUGUGUUGUUGGGUAGGGGAGCGUUCUGUAAGCCUGUGAAGGUAGCCUGUGAGGGUUGCUGGAGGUAUCAGAAGUGCGAAUGCUGACAUAAGUAACGAUAAAGCGGGUGAAAAGCCCGCUCGCCGGAAGACCAAGGGUUCCUGUCCAACGUUAAUCGGGGCAGGGUGAGUCGACCCCUAAGGCGAGGCCGAAAGGCGUAGUCGAUGGGAAACAGGUUAAUAUUCCUGUACUUGGUGUUACUGCGAAGGGGGGACGGAGAAGGCUAUGUUGGCCGGGCGACGGUUGUCCCGGUUUAAGCGUGUAGGCUGGUUUUCCAGGCAAAUCCGGAAAACCAAGGCUGAGGCGUGAUGACGAGGCACUACGGUGCUGAAGUGACAAAUGCCCUGCUUCCAGGAAAAGCCUCUAAGCAUCAGGUAACAUCAAAUCGUACCCCAAACCGACACAGGUGGUCAGGUAGAGAAUACCAAGGCGCUUGAGAGAACUCGGGUGAAGGAACUAGGCAAAAUGGUGCCGUAACUUCGGGAGAAGGCACGCUGAUAUGUAGGUGAAGCGACUUGCUCGUGGAGCUGAAAUCAGUCGAAGAUACCAGCUGGCUGCAACUGUUUAUUAAAAACACAGCACUGUGCAAACACGAAAGUGGACGUAUACGGUGUGACGCCUGCCCGGUGCCGGAAGGUUAAUUGAUGGGGUUAGCGGUAACGCGAAGCUCUUGAUCGAAGCCCCGGUAAACGGCGGCCGUAACUAUAACGGUCCUAAGGUAGCGAAAUUCCUUGUCGGGUAAGUUCCGACCUGCACGAAUGGCGUAAUGAUGGCCAGGCUGUCUCCACCCGAGACUCAGUGAAAUUGAACUCGCUGUGAAGAUGCAGUGUACCCGCGGCAAGACGGAAAGACCCCGUGAACCUUUACUAUAGCUUGACACUGAACAUUGAGCCUUGAUGUGUAGGAUAGGUGGGAGGCUUUGAAGUGUGGACGCCAGUCUGCAUGGAGCCGACCUUGAAAUACCACCCUUUAAUGUUUGAUGUUCUAACGUUGGCCCGUAAUCCGGGUUGCGGACAGUGUCUGGUGGGUAGUUUGACUGGGGCGGUCUCCUCCUAAAGAGUAACGGAGGAGCACGAAGGUUGGCUAAUCCUGGUCGGACAUCAGGAGGUUAGUGCAAUGGCAUAAGCCAGCUUGACUGCGAGCGUGACGGCGCGAGCAGGUGCGAAAGCAGGUCAUAGUGAUCCGGUGGUUCUGAAUGGAAGGGCCAUCGCUCAACGGAUAAAAGGUACUCCGGGGAUAACAGGCUGAUACCGCCCAAGAGUUCAUAUCGACGGCGGUGUUUGGCACCUCGAUGUCGGCUCAUCACAUCCUGGGGCUGAAGUAGGUCCCAAGGGUAUGGCUGUUCGCCAUUUAAAGUGGUACGCGAGCUGGGUUUAGAACGUCGUGAGACAGUUCGGUCCCUAUCUGCCGUGGGCGCUGGAGAACUGAGGGGGGCUGCUCCUAGUACGAGAGGACCGGAGUGGACGCAUCACUGGUGUUCGGGUUGUCAUGCCAAUGGCACUGCCCGGUAGCUAAAUGCGGAAGAGAUAAGUGCUGAAAGCAUCUAAGCACGAAACUUGCCCCGAGAUGAGUUCUCCCUGACUCCUUGAGAGUCCUGAAGGAACGUUGAAGACGACGACGUUGAUAGGCCGGGUGUGUAAGCGCAGCGAUGCGUUGAGCUAACCGGUACUAAUGAACCGUGAGGCUUAACCUU